rnacentral:rRNA from 2 species
AAUCGCAGAGACGAAGUCUGACGGAGCACGCCGCGUGAGUGAUGAAGGCUUUCGGGUCGUAAAACUCUGUUGUUAGGGAAGAACAAGUGCUAGUUGAAUAAGCUGGCACCUUGACGGUACCUAACCAGAAAGCCACGGCUAACUACGUGCCAGCAGCCGCGGUAAUACGUAGGUGGCAAGCGUUAUCCGGAAUUAUUGGGCGUAAAGCGCGCGCAGGUGGUUUCUUAAGUCUGAUGUGAAAGCCCACGGCUCAACCGUGGAGGGUCAUUGGAAACUGGGAGACUUGAGUGCAGAAGAGGAAAGUGGAAUUCCAUGUGUAGCGGUGAAAUGCGUAGAGAUAUGGAGGAACACCAGUGGCGAAGGCGACUUUCUGGUCUGUAACUGACACUGAGGCGCGAAAGCGUGGGGAGCAAACAGGAUUAGAUACCCUGGUAGUCCACGCCGUAAACGAUGAGUGCUAAGUGUUAGAGGGUUUCCGCCCUUUAGUGCUGAAGUUAACGCAUUAAGCACUCCGCCUGGGGAGUACGGCCGCAAGGCUGAAACUCAAAGGAAUUGACGGGGGCCCGCACAAGCGGUGGAGCAUGUGGUUUAAUUCAAAGCAACGCGAAGAACCUUACCAGGUCUUGACAUCCUCUGAAAACCCUACAGAUAAGGCUUCUCCUUCUGGAGAAAAAUGACAGGUGCUGCCUGGCUGU